GCCGACGGCCACAGGAAUGGGGGAAACACCCGGACUCAUUCCGAACCCGGAAGUUAAGCCCCAUUUCGUUCCGUGCUGUACUGUGUUCCGAGAGGGCACGGGAAACACGGGAGCUGUCGGCU
rnacentral:rRNA from 1 species